GGGUGAUUAGCUCAGUUGGUUAGAGCGUCGCAUUCACAUUGCGAAGGUCGCAGGUUCGAAUCCUGGCAAGCCCA
rnacentral:tRNA from 1 species